AUUGAACGCUGGCGGCAUGCUUUACACAUGCAAGUCGAACGGCAGCACGGGGGCAACCCUGGUGGCGAGUGGCGAACGGGUGAGUAAUACAUAGGAACGUAUCCUGAAAUGGGGGAUAGCUCGGCGAAAGCCGGAUUAAUACCGCAUACGAUCCACGGAUGAAAGCAGGGGAUUCGCAAGAACCUUGCGUUUCUGGAGCGGCCUAUGUCUGAUUAGCUAGUUGGCGGGGUAAAAGCCCACCAAGGCGACGAUCAGUAGCUGGUCUGAGAGGAUGAUCAGCCACACUGGGACUGAGACACGGCCCAGACUCCUACGGGAGGCAGCAGUGGGAAUUUUGGACAAUGGGGCAACCCUGAUCCAGCCAUGCCGCGUGAGUGAAGAAGGCCUCGG
rnacentral:rRNA from 1 species